AAGUCAGGGCUGCGGGAAGACCCCUCUAAAACACCUGAGGACAGCUUCCAGCAUCUAACAAAGCAAACCAAGAGCUGCUGAGUUACUGUGGAGUUUUUUUUUCAUGGUUCAGUUUAUAAUUGCAGCAAAGAAGCCCAGUAGAGCCCUGUUUUUUUGUGUCAGUGGGCGAAACAGAACCAGAAGCUGCAGCGGAUCCCUAGAUUUUUCUUCGUGUGCCUCCUGGCAAGUAGAAACUGAGCCAAGUCUAUAGGCACAAGGUGUAGCUGUGAUGCUGAAGCACAGCCAAUCAGCGGAAAAUGUAGAGCCUCAGAGUUACCUUUGGUCCCUCUGAAUCUACUUGCACGCCCACAGCAGUGCUAGAGGUCACAGGUUCAUCUCUGCAGCGUCAAACCCGGUGCCUAAGACAGUCCCUGGGGUGUCAAAGUAGCUUAUGCUGCUCUAGGAAGAGAGGAGGAAAAAUGUCUCCGUGACCACCCUCGAAUUACCACAUCCCUGAUCUCACUCACCUUCCACAGAGGGAUGUAUCUGGCUGCUGGACGUGGCCAGCAUGGGCAUGGCAGCAGCAGGAGAUUCUGACAGCUGUGCUCUCAUGGCAGCUGGGAGAGGUGUUCCUCAAGGACCAAGACCUUCCCCUUGCAUGCUGCUCCUGACCACAAGGCUUCAUGUUUCCUUAAAGGAGGGCUCCCCAAAAAGAACUGCUGAUCUUCCUGUGCCUCUGGGUACAGGUGGGCACAACUAUGGUGGGGGCAAGUGAAGGGCAGAGGCUCACCCAUAGGGAUACUGCUCACUUGGUGCCACCUCCUCUGCCAUGUGAAGGGGACUGCAUUACCACUUCCUUUCUGGCUGCACCACCCUGUAUAAUUGCACUGUCUAAAGGGUACUCAAGUCCUUCCCAGAUAUUCUGGUAAGGCUUUUAAGACCAAACUUAUUUGAUGUAAACUGAUGCAGUUCGAUCAACUCAAUGGUGUAAUGUCAUCGUAGAGUAGCUAAAGCCUUCACUUGUUAGUUUUUGUAAUUGAAUAUACAGCUCUUCCAAUUUCAGGUAACGGACACCUUCAUUUCCACAUUAGCAAGGGGUUGCUUUACUCCAAUAAAUAUUGACCUGUUGUGAUGAAGCAUUCUUAUUAUCAGGAUGUAUUGGUACAGCACAGAUAUAUUGACAGAUUUUCAGCUCAAUGUUGUAUAAACAUUUUACAGUGACAUAUUUUGAGCUUACUUUGACAUGCUUCUGAAAAUAUUUGUGCUGGCAAGAAAGCUGUGAGCUCACUCAGUUAUCUCUGGCAUGACAAGGGCUGGAAGGAUGACCAAAGAUUCACUAGGCUUUCAGGCUGUUAUCAGUUGUUUUGCAUGUACAAGCCCAAGCACAGGUCAGGAGACUGUUUGCAGUGGAGACCCACUUUCAGAAUUUGCCCCAUACAUCAUCCUUCAUUCUAUCUAUCGAUAAAUAAUGAGAUACUGAACCCUAAAAUUCCCAUGCAGAGAGGUUGUGUCAUUGGCUUUUCAGGAUUUUCAGUUUUUGUGUUUUGCUCCUUCUGAGGGCUGAAUGGUAGAGCCAGGGACCCACACCCCCUGCCUACAAACAGUCUGACAGUUCACUUCCAAAGCACAGUGCUAAGACAGCCUUCUUCCUCCUUGUGUAUGUGAAAUAAAAUCCAUGAAGCUGCAGUGUAAAAGCACUUGGAGAUGACAAGCAGAAUGGUAUGUAGAGUGAAUUAUGGGACCCAAACUGUUCUAAGCCAUUUUUUCUUUUCCCUAAAACCACCAACUAAGCUACCAAUACCCUUCUUGUGCAGAGGCACUUUCACUAGAGUCACCACCCUGGGCAAGGCAUCAGCAAGCGCAAGUGCACAGGAGCAGGCACAGCCUAUUUUAACAUUGCUGUAAUGGCUGAAUUCCAGCGACUCAUUGGUGAGAGGCAAUUCUCUAAUCCCAGAAGAACCAGUAUCAUUUGAGCUGUCAGCAACUGGCAGGCGGGAUGGAUUGUGCCUCUGGCUGUCAAGCAGCGCUGCAAACCUUGCGGUGGACUUCCCUCCGUGAUGGCAUGUUGGCAUGCAGCAUCCCCAAACUUUUCUGAUCCUGUUUGCUUUAUCUUGAUUAAUAAGUUCAAGUAUUCGCAAAGCUGAGGCCUGCCAUUAAGGAGGCGAUAAGCCAUAAUUUGUAAUAAAAGAGCUACCUUUUCCAAUUGUCUUCAGCUGAAGCAGAGAGUCCCCGUAAUGAUUUAUUGCCUUACUGCCAGGCUCUUGAUAAGUGGACACCAAAUGGCUCCUCAUUACUCAAAAGCUCCUCUGAUUUCUUGAACCAAAGUCUUUUCCAAGCUGCACUUAGUCCACUUUCCUUCCAAAGAAAAUGAAUCAAAGCCUUUCUCUCAGUAGCCUAUAAACUAUUUUAGCAUAAAAAAUAUCAUAAAUGAGAAAGGAGAAAAUCUUGUUUGCUAAAGGGCUGCUGGAUGAACUGCCUCUUGCCCUUUUGAUAGCAUCUUUGAAAUGGAAAUGGCCAGCUGCCUGACCUUCUGUUCAAUGACCCUUUUUGUACAAAGUCAAAUUGCAGUGGCUUCACAGCAGCAAUUCACCUAUGGACAUAAACUAGAUUUCAGGGGGAGUAUGGAAGAGGAGGCUUCUAUCUGCAGUUUCUCUAGAAUAAGUCUCCCAUGUUAGUAUUUCCUACAUACACAUUGAGAAUCAAGCUUACAUAAACUGCUGCUCAUGGAAGAUAUUCAGAAUUUUACUUCAGUAGCUUACAUCUCUCUACUUCUUUACAUUAUGGAUGGAACAGGACUUCUUUGAAAAUCAUUAAUCAAAAAGAUUUAGUAUGUGAACAGUGCUACAUGCAAUUUGGAAAAAAACCUCUAUAAUCAGUUAUUGGAUUGUGGCAUUAAUUAUUGAACUCAUUUUAUUAGAGCUCAAGGAAAAAAAAAAUACAAUUCUAAGCGGGAUGAAAGAUCAGAGAAAGGGGAAAAAAAAAUCCAUCCCCAAACAAAAAAUAGCCAAACCCACAAGCCAUUAGAAAUUACAUGUUUUUAAAUGUGUCAAGACUUAGGUGCCCAAAUUUAGAAAGUGGCUGCUCACGUGAGAUGCCAAAGGACUGUUUGCCUAUCCAAUGCAUGCCCUUGCAGCCUAGUUUAUCCUGCGAUACAAUUGCCUUUUAAGAGCAGCCACUCUGUUAAAUGUAUUUGCCGAAUUCAAAGCCAUCCUUCCAGCUGGGGUAAAUCACUCAUGCUCUAUUAUACCAGCUGAGAAGCUGUCCAAGGAGAUUUCCCAGAUAUUCACAGAAACA